rnacentral:lncRNA from 1 species
CCUGUUUACAGUGGGCACCUUUGUAGGAAAACAGAUUCCUUUGCCUUUAUGUGAGUUAUGUGCCUCCGUGUGUGCAGCGGACCCCUCUACUACCCCACUUUCCUUCUCAGGGAAAAUCUCUCCGCUGGGCUGGAAGAGGCAGGUCUAGGCAGUGCCGUGUCUCCUCCUCCUCGAUGCUGGUUUACAGGUGUGCCAGGGAUACGUGGCCAGCGGUGUGGCUGCUGACAGACCUCAGCCCUCAGGACUGUGCAGCAAGUGCUCUUAGCUGUGGAGCCAUCACUCGCUCCAAUCCCUAGAGAGCGAUAUCGGACUCAUUUCUUAGCCUCAGUACUAAUCAACUUUCAUUUGUUCAUAUGAUUAUCCAGAGCGUGUAGGGUCUUCUUUGGUGCACAGAAU